rnacentral:rRNA from 1 species
UACGUAGGGUGCAAGCGUUGUCCGGAAUUAUUGGGCGUAAAGAGCUCGUAGGCGGUUUGUCGCGUCUGCUGUGAAAACUCGGGGCUUAACCCCGGGCCUGCAGUGGGUACGGGCAGACUAGAGUGCGGAAGGGGCAACUGGAAUUCUCGGUGUAGCGGUGAAAUGCGUAGAUAUCGAGAGGAACACCUGCGGCGAAGGCGGGUUGCUGGGCCGACACUGACGCUGAUGCGCGAAAGCCAGGGGAGCGAACGGG